rnacentral:rRNA from 1 species
UACGUAGGGCGCAAGCGUUAUCCGGAAUUAUUGGGCGUAAAGAGCUCGUAGGCGGUUUGUCGCGUCUGCUGUGAAAACUCGGGGCUUAACUCCGGGCCUGCAGUGGGUACGGGCAGACUAGAGUGCGGUAGGGGAGACUGGAAUUCCUGGUGUAGCGGUGAAAUGCGCAGAUAUCAGGAGGAACACCGGUGGCGAAGGCGGGUCUCUGGGCCGAUACUGACGCUGAGGAGCGAAAGCGUGGGGAGCGAACAGG